rnacentral:rRNA from 1 species
GAUCAUCGCUCAGGACGAACGCUGGCGGCGUGCUUAACACAUGCAAGUCGAACGAGAAUCUACUGAAAGAGUUUUCGGACAAUGGAAGUAGAGGAAAGUGGCGGACGGGUGAGUAACGCGUGAGGAACCUGCCUUGAAGAGGGGGUCAACAGUUGGAAACGACUGCUAAUACCGCAUGAAGCAUAGGGGUCGCAUGAUUCUUAUGCCAAAGAUUUAUCGCUUCAAGAUGGCCUCGCG